rnacentral:tRNA from 1 species
UCCCUGGUGUCUCAGUGGCAAAGAGUCUGCCUGCAAUGCAGGAGACCUGGGUUUGAUCCCUGGGUUGGGAA